rnacentral:miRNA from 2 species
ACAGUCUACCCGGACAGGCCG